rnacentral:rRNA from 1 species
GUCUGUGGCCGUGCUACUCUGAACAAGCCAGAUCCCGUCUGAUCUCGGAAGCUAAGCAGGGUCGGGUCUGGUUAGUACUUGGAUGGGAGACCACAUAGGAAGACCAGUUCUAUAGGCA